rnacentral:rRNA from 1 species
GACGAACGCUGGCGGCGUGCUUAACACAUGCAAGUCGAACGGAAAGGCCCUGCUUUUGUGGGGUGCUCGAGUGGCGAACGGGUGAGUAACACGUGAGUAACCUGCCCUUGACUUUGGGAUAACUUCAGGAAACUGGGGCUAAUACCGCAUAGGAGCUCCUGCUGCAUGGCGGGGGUUGGAAAGUUUCGGCGGUUGGGGAUGGACUUGCGGCUUAUCAGCUUGUUGGUGGGGUAGUGGUUUACCAAGGCUUUGGCGGGUAGCCGGCCUGAGAGGGUGACCGGCCCCAUUGGGACUGAGAUACGGCCCAGACUCCUACGGGAGGCAGCAGUGGGGAAUAUUGCACAAUGGGCGGAAGCCUGAUGCAGCAACGCCGCGUGCGGGAUGACGGCCUUCGGGUUGUAAACCGCUUUCGCCUGUGACGAAGCGUGAGUGACGGUAAUGGGUAAAGAAGCACCGGCUAACUACGUG